rnacentral:lncRNA from 1 species
ACCUCUCUCAGCCUGCCAAUCUUGGCGUUCAGAUCGCCACACAGCAGCACAUGAGGGGAGACCUGAGUGACACGCGCGACCUCAUCAAGGAGAGAAGAGAAUGAGUCAAUCGCUGCUCGCACAGGAAAUGCUGACUAACAGGGUUGAUGUACACCGCCCCUAGUAUGACAUCCUCCUGAAACCCAAACAGCCGUUUAUCACAGCGCACCCAAAUGCAUUGCAAGCGCUGUGAGUCCAGAUGCACAUGCAAAAAAUCAGCACACUGAACUGCUGCAAGCACAGCCACCCCAAAGCCUGGUUUCCCAACAUCUCC